UACAGAGGUCCCGAGCGUUAGGCGGAAUCACUGAGCUUAAAGCGUGUGUAGGCGGACUUCUAAGUACCUUGUGAAAUCCCACGGCUUACCCGUGGAACGGCUGGGUAUACUGGUUGUCUUGAGCCACUUAGGGGCUACCGGAACAAAUGGUGGAGCGGUGAAAUGCGUAGAUAUCAUUUGGAACGCCAAUGGUGAAAACAGGUAGCUGGGAGUGUGCUGACGCUGAGACACGAAAGCCAGGGGAGCGAACGGG
rnacentral:rRNA from 1 species